GUUAAAAAGCUCGUAGUUGGAUUUCUGUCGAGGGCGGCGUCCGCACUAUGUGCGUGUAUCUUGUUCGGUCUUGGCAUCCUCUUGGGGAAUGCUUCUGUGCUUGAAUUGCAUGGGGUGAAAUUCAAGACUUUUACUUUGAGGAAAUUAGAGUAUUCACGGCAAGCUACCGCCUUGAAUACAUUAGCAUGGAAUAAUAAUAUAGGGCGUAAGUUCUAUUUUGUUGGUUUCUAGGACAUACGCAAUGAUUAAUAGGGACAAUUGGGGGCAUUCGUAUUAACGCGUCAGAGGUGGAAUUCUUAGAUUUUUUAAAGACGAACUAAUGCGAAGGCAUUUACCAAGGAUGUUUUCAUUAAUCAAGAACGAAAGCGUUGGGAUCAAAAAGGAUCAGAUACCCUUGUAGUCAACGCCGUAAACGAUACUGACUAGGGAUUGGUGAGGAACACCCUCAUCAGCACCUAAUGAGAAAUCAAAGUCUUUGAGUUCUGGGGAGAGUAUGGUCGC
rnacentral:rRNA from 1 species